GCGGUUGCUAAUUUUCGGGUGGAUAGAGAAAUCCUGCAGGCCUCGUGCCUUUCUUCUCCGGCGCCGGCGCCAACGCGAUGUAGAUGGCGCGCAGGUUGACUGGGCUUCCUGGAUGCAUGCGUGGGCUUCCUCGAUGCACGUGUGGACCUGGCCCAUUGCUGGAGCAACUCCUCCCCUUCCGUUCCUGGAGCCUGCAGCCCCAUACCGUGCGAACUGAAACCGGUCGGUGGCAUCGUAAUGAUGGUGGUAUAAAAUUCGACUUCUCCCUCCUGUAAUCAUGGUGAUUAACGUUGGCGUUACUGUCUGUUUUCUUAUGUUCCUUGUAUAUUUAUAUGCUGCAAACAAUUAUCUUUUCAUAUCACUUCAGUCUCGCCUUCGACCUACCAUUGUUCGUCAGCCACGUUCCUUCAUUAGUGUUGAUUUCCUCUUUUGUCGGCGUCUCCCCUCUUCUUUGUAAUUUCAUUGAUGCCACCAAUCUGACCUGCCGUCGCCUGUUUCAGGGGUUGUCGUCCUCCUUAGUUUGUGAUGAUUGUGUUUAGGGAGUGCUGAGAGGGAGUGCGUCUCUGCAACCAUGGUCGCUGGACAGCAACCACACAAGGUGUUGGAAUGGUGCCCCCGCAGAGAGGUUAGAGGAGAUGAGAUGGAUUCGCUGCACAAGAGGACAUGUUUGCUACACAAGAGGAUCUGACAACAGCUAAAUGCUCUCGAGGCCAUGCUCUCGCAUGAAGACAGAAUGAUGCUUCAGCUCAAGGUAGGAAUAGAAAAAAUCAUUUCUUCAUUUUGAGCAAGUCGUGCAAGAGGAAUUCAUCAUGUACUUGAUUGGACAAUGACGUUUCUCUACUCGCUGAUGUUCAGUGGUGGUGGGCGGUUCAAGGCAUGAAAUCGAUCUGCCUCCAUGGUGUCUGAACUUAAGUCAGUGCCAUGCUGAUCAGAUGUGGAUAUAUCCAAACUUCUACAGUGCAAUGUACCCUGAGUACCGGGUAAUGAUGUGCAUGCAUUGGGGACAUUAGGGGCGGCCAAUGGUCACCCUAUUUCUCAUUUCUGUUUCUGACAGUCUAAUAUUGAGGAUGUUGGUCCAGGUUAAUGUAGCAUGCUCUGUUGUAUUGAGAUGCUUCUAAACCCAAGCUACACGCACACAUGCAAUCUUCUUUUUUUGCAGCCGAGAUGUCUUA